AUGCAAGAACUAGAGUGGUUAAUGCGACGCUCUGAUAAGGCGUAGAUCGCGCGUUCAAAUCGCGUCGGGCCCACCA
rnacentral:tRNA from 1 species